UGUCGUGUUGCCAGAUUGGUUUAAAGUCUCUAGAUGACAAAGAUGGCUCAGACGUGCCCAUCCUCCCUUAGUGCUAAAUACACAGCAGGCAUCCAAUAAAUUAAAGAUAUGCUUCAAGUCUAUUGAACUUGCUGUUUGUCCGUAACUUUUUUUUUUAUUAUUAAUUUAUUUAUUUUUGAGAUAGAAUUUCAAAAGACAGAGUUUCUUGUGCCCAGGCUGGAAUUGCACCACUGCACUCCAGCCUGACAACAGAGUGAGACUCCGUCUAAAAAAAGAAAAAAGAAAGAGGCC
rnacentral:lncRNA from 10 species